GGAGGGUGCAAGCGUUAUCCGGAUUCACUGGGUUUAAAGGGUGCGUAGGUGGGUUGAUAAGUCAGUGGUGAAAUCCCCGAGCUUAACUUGGGAACUGCCAUUGAUACUAUUGAUCUUGAAUACCGUGGAGGUCAGCGGAAUAUGUCAUGUAGCGGUGAAAUGCUUAGAUAUGACAUAGAACACCAAUUGCGAAGGCAGCUGGCUACGCGAAUAUUGACACUGAGGCACGAAAGCGUGGGGAUCAAACAGGAUUAGAUACCCUGGUAGUCCACGCCCUAAACUAUGGAUACUCGACAUCGGCGAUACACUGUUGGUGUCUGAGCGAAAGCAUUAAGUAUCCCACCUGGGAAGUACGAUCGCAAGAUUGAA
rnacentral:rRNA from 1 species